UAGAGGAAGUAAAAGUNGUAACAAGGUUUCCGUAGGUGAACUGCGGAAGGAUCAUUACCGAAUUGUCAACACGAGUUGUUGCUGGUCCUCAAAACGGGGGCAUGUGCACGCUCUGUUUACACAUCCACUCACACCUGUGCACCCUCUGUAGUUCUGUGGCAUGGGGGACUCUGUCCUCCUGUUGUGGUCCUACGUCUUUACACACACUCUGUAAUAAAGUCUCAUGGAAUGCAUGACGCGUUUAACGCAAUACAAUACAACUUUCAGCAACGGAUCUCUUGGCUCUCGCAUCGAUGAAGAACGCAGCGAAAUGCGAUAAGUAAUGUGAAUUGCAGAAUUCAGUGAAUCAUCGAAUCUUUGAACGCACCUUGCGCCCUUUGGCUAUUCCGAAGGGCAUGCCUGUUUGAGUAUCAUGAACACCUCAACUCUCAUGGUUUGCCGUGAUGAGCUUGGACUUUGGAGGUCUUGCCGGCCUGCGGUCGGCUCCUCUCAAAUGGAUCAGCUUGCCAGUGUUUGGUGGCAUCAUGGGUGUGAUAACUAUCUACGCCUGUGGUUUUCCACCAGAUAACCUUCAGUGAUGGAGGUACGCUGGAGCUCAUAAAUGUCUCUCCUCAGUGAAGACAGCUUUUUGAACGUUUGAUCUCAAAUCAGGUAGGACUACCCGCUGAACUUAAGCAU
rnacentral:rRNA from 1 species